CUACGUGCCAGCAGCCGCGGUAAUACGUAGGUCCCGAGCGUUAUCCGGAUUUAUUGGGCGUAAAGCGAGCGCAGGCGGUUAGAUAAGUCUGAAGUUAAAGGCUGUGGCUUAACCAUAGUACGCUUUGGAAACUGUUUAACUUGAGUGCAGAAGGGGAGAGUGGAAUUCCAUGUGUAGCGGUGAAAUGCGUAGAUAUAUGGAGGAACACCGGUGGCGAAAGCGGCUCUCUGGUCUGUAACUGACGCUGAGGCUCGAAAGCGUGGGGAGCAAACAGGAUUAGAUACCCUGGUAGUCCACGCCCUAAACGAUGUCAAUUAGCUGUUGGGCAACUUGAUUGCUUAGUAGCGUAGCUAACGCGUGAAAUUGACCGCCUGGGGAGUACGGUCGCAAGAUUAAAACUCAAAGGAAUUGACGGGGACCCGCACAAGCGGUGGAUGAUGUGGAUUAAUUCGAUGCAACGCGAAGAACCUUACCAAAUCUUGACAUCC
rnacentral:rRNA from 1 species